rnacentral:lncRNA from 1 species
CGUUUUUAAGAAUGCCCUAUAAAAGCCAAUUUUAAAACCCUAAAAACCACUUCUCUGGCAUUCCACAGAUGCGCUGCAACUCUCCAUCUGCUCCACCAUUCCAGUCCUCUCCUAUUUUCGACCAUGAAACGGCGAAGCGAGGUUGCUUUUCGACGAAUCUCACGACGGAAAGUCCUCCUUUUCUUCCCCUCUUCGUUUAUUAUUUUUUAAAAAAACAAAAGGAAAACAAAAUAAAAUAAAAACAGUAAAAGAACAGAAGAAAAAAACAAAAUCUGUUACCUUCCAAAAUCGUUUUCUUUCUCUUGUAUUUUCUUGUUAAUUUUCAUACAAUAUUUUUGCUAACCCCUUUUACAAAGAAUCAAUUCCCUUUAUAUAGCCCACCCCCCGUUUUACCAGUUUUUUGCUGUGUAUAUCCUCUUAAUGCUAUUCGUGGUUUGCAGGUGUGUAGGCGUUGUGCGGGAGUUGCUACGACGUGGGGCGUUAUUGCGAGGGAAGAACGUGGGCAGUUGCGGUGUGCAAGGACGACGUGGGGCAAGCAAUAUCGGCUAUCUGUUGCUUAAGGUUUCUGUGACUUUAGGCCAGUUGGGCCCUGCAAUUGGGUCAAAAAAAUGGGCUUAUAAUUCGGUUAUUGGGUCGGGGUGUUAUUGGGUUUAAAACUGGGUCUGUAAUUUAUUGUAUUUUUAUUUUCAGGUUUAUGCAUUUGGGCCCGGGCUAAAAUGGCCUAUUACACAUAUUAUUCUAAAGAUUUAAAAUCAACAUUUAUAUAAUAUUAGAGAUUUGAUCUGCAUAAUAUUUAGAUCUUAAAGAUUUUAUAUGGAAUGAUCAUUCCUCCCAACCAAAUAUGCUAUUAGGUUUUUUGUUUUAUAAUUAUUAAUUAAGAAGCAUUAUUUUUUUAUGUUUCAAAGAAGAGAAAAUUUUUAAAAUUUGUGUUUAUCAUUAAUCCUUAUAAUAAUCUUACCUUUUUUAAAUAUCAAUUAAUGAUCUUCCAGUUGCAAGAAAUGGUCCAUCAAGAAUAAGUGGUACCAUUCUAUUUUCCUCCAUAUUCAAAAUAAUGAAAUUUGUCAAAAGAAUAAAUUGUCCACUUUAACUAGCACCUCUUCGAUGACCCUCUUAGGGUAACACAAUUUUUUCAACCAUCUACAAUGUGACAGAUAUAGGCAUAAGAUCCCCUAAACUUAACUUUUGAGUUUUAGAGCAACAUCAAGUUAAUGUUUAUUCCCAAAUUGUAGAGUAUAAAUUGUAGAGUAUAAAGUCAAUAUGAGAUUUAUGAUUCUUUUUUAAGAC